CAAAGUGUAGCUUAAACAAAGUAUCUGGCUUACACCCAGAAGAUUUCACGCAUGUGACCGCUUUGAACUCAGAA
rnacentral:tRNA from 1 species